rnacentral:rRNA from 1 species
AACGAACGCUGGCGGCAGGCUUAACACAUGCAAGUCGAACGCCCCGCCAGGGGAGUGGCAGACGGGUGAGUAACGCGUGGGAACAUACCCUUUUCUACGGAAUAGCUCUGGGAAACUGGAAUUAAUACCGUAUACGCCCUACGGGGGAAAGAUUUAUCGGGGAAGGAUUGGCCCGCGUUGGAUUAGCUAGUUGGUGGGGUAAAGGCCUACCAAGGCGACGAUCCAUAGCUGGUCUGAGAGGAUGAUCAGCCACAUUGGGACUGAGACACGGCCCAAACUCCUACGGGAGGCAGCAGUGGGGAAUAUUGGACAAUGGGCGCAAGCCUGAUCCAGCCAUGCCGCGUGAGUGAUGAAGGCCUUGGGGUUGUAAAGCUCUUUCACCGAUGAAGAUAAUGACGGUAGUCGGAGAAGAAGCCCCGGCUAACUUCGUG